AGUUUCUGUCUUAUACAUCAUACAAAAAUUCCAAUAAGGUUGCCAAUAAGGUAAUAGCUACUUCAGUAGCUCACCUUCCAUAUGCUGCAGAAGGGACUUAGCAUUCUGCAGGUUCAAUCUCCUACUUACUCCUUUCCUUCUUCCUGCGAUAGUAUAGAAAUAACUAUCGCUAAGCAUAAGACUUAGUAGUGCCAUUGGAUAUUUAAGUUGUUUAAAUGUGAAAAAUAACUUCAAUAUUACCUCUCAUAAGUCAACUCUUGUCGUUUGCUUACUGAAAACAAACCGGUUAAAUAGAAGUAACAAGUAGUCAUAUCAACUAAAUUAAAUUCAUUUGCAAACCAACAAUAAUCAAUUUAUAUUAAGAUAUUAUGGCAUCUCAAUACAAUCAUCAAUCAAUAGUUUUGUCUCCACAACUUAUGCAGACUCAAUCGGAAGGGCCAUCACUGUCUUAUAAGCUCAUAAAGACAAAACUAUCUCAACCUUAAUCUGUGAUAUGAAUAUCAAUAGAAGAGGGACAAUCUCAACCUCAUUUAAGAGAGAACAAUAUCAUUUGCAAUAUCAUUUAUUGCAUAUCCAUAUCAAUCACAAUAUUAACUUCAAGAAAUGAAGUGAUAUUAGCAGGGUAAUAACCAUGCAUAAUAUCAACUUCAACAAAUGAAGUGAUAUCAGGUAAUAACCAUGUCAUGCAUUUAGCUGUGAGACUCUUAAAACUUCUCCAUUAUAAAUUAAUCAUUAGCCUUAAUGAGCAGCAUUUCAUUUUGUUAAAACAUUUCUAUAUCCAUUCUUUCAAAAUCAUCCUCCAUUUUCCAUUCAAAUGAGUACUUUAAAAUUCAUUUCCAACUAUUAUAAAACAUUUAACAUUCGCUCUUUAUUAUUUUGUGUAAACAUUUAACUAUAACUUUAGCAUUUGCUUUCUUUAUAAUCAAUUCACAAUUGCAAUAAUCACAUUUGAAUUCAAUUUCAUUUGAUAUAAAUAUUUGAUAAAUAAAUCAACUUUUUCUAUUGUAAAAUUUCAUUUGAUAUAAACAUUUGCUUUCUUUACCUUGUAACUUUUCAUAAAAUAUUUUUUAAAACUAUUUUACUUAUCACUUAAA
rnacentral:lncRNA from 1 species